ACCAGGGCUAGCAGGGGUCAGGUCAGGGGCAGCUCUGAGGACAGACUGCUUUAAAGUCAGUGUAAAACCUGCCUGUGCCCAUCUCUUAUCAAAGCACCACAGUAAGAAAAUUCCAAAUGGGCCUGUCUUAGCUCCACAUGUGCUACAGACCCAGAAGUCUGUGCUGGUUUCUCCAUUAACUGGGAGGCUCCAACGCAGCCAUUCUGGGGUCAGUUGUGGCAGGUUUGGGUGGUCUCUGGUCACACCGAACGAGGCGCCCCUGGUACGGUCCAUUUGGGGUCAGUUGUGGCAGGUUUGGGUGGUCUCUGGUCACACCGAACGAGGCAACCCUGGCACGGUCCAUUUGGGGUCAGUUGUGGCAGGUUUGGGUGGUCUCUGGUCACACCGAACGAGGCGCCCCUGGCACGGCCCGUUCUGGGCCCGCCCGCCCCCCCCAGCUCUGAGGGGCUGGAGCGGCCGCACAGCGCCCCCUGCUGGCCGGGCUGGGCCUAGGCUAGGCCCAGUCUCAGGCCCAGCCCCAGUCUCAGGCCCAGCCCCAGGCCUCGCCACACAUAGCCCAGCACAGUGCCCUGACACACCUUUGUCACCUGCCGAGGCAGAUGUGCAGUCAGUUGAUGUGGGUUAUAGCAGACACAGGAAGCAAGGCAUCCGGGUGCUCUUAACUACCUCUCUGGGACUGAGAAAUUUGGUAUUGGAAAUACCUUGUUUCUUUUCCCUCAGCAAUCCCUGUUUCAUGUUCCUGCUCUGCAAACCUGGCAGUUUCCCAAGCAGCACACAGGGAAGGCUGCAGGAUCCCUCAUCAGAUUGUGUCACUUCCCUGUAAGACUCGUGUAUGGGAGACUUCGCAAGGCCAGUGACUUACCUGAGAACAUGCUCAUCUACACCUUGAACCAGGUUAGCCAAAACCCCCUCAGACAAGUGUCCUACACCAGCUGCUCCCACACAGAUGCUCCAGGAGCAGCUGAGAGCCUUGGCCAGAAGCCAUGCACAGAGUGCACCUCCCCUCAGCACAGACCAGGGACCUGCAGCACUCACUGUUCUGUACAGACCCCAUGACACCUCCUGCAGCACAGCAGCAGUCACAGCCCCAGCCAAGCUCUAUUGCCAUGAGAUCACGCCUUCUCUCUUGGCUUAAGGCAGCUUCAUCUGCCUUACAAAGCAUCACCGUUGCGCUCUGUGCUCUCCCAACUCCCCUAACAAGUGGGAGAUCGAGGUAUGAGCUGUUAACUAUGUAAAGAAAAUUUCAGUCACCAGCUGAGUUCACCCAGUACUCAGAUUUUAUUAAACAGGCUCUAUACAGUACAAAAACACACUGCUGCAGCAUCCCAGAUACCCCUUCCCCACUUCACAAGCUGCCAGAGAUGAACCACUAAAGCUUUCUGGAUGGCAGGGGAGAGCCAAACCCCGACUCCUCUCCUUACACACAAGGCCCUCCUGUACUUGUCAUUGUUCCAAGGAGAGCCUUCCUUGCUUGUAAUGACAGGGGCAGGAUAACAUGAGUUGUUAGCCAGGGAGUGCA